rnacentral:rRNA from 1 species
AUUGAACGCUGGCGGCAGGCCUAACACAUGCAAGUCGAGCGGCAGCGGGAAAGUAGCUUGCUACUUUUGCCGGCGAGCGGCGGACGGGUGAGUAAUGCCUGGGGAUCUGCCCAGUCGAGGGGGAUAACUACUGGAAACGGUAGCUAAUACCGCAUACGCCCUACGGGGGAAAGCAGGGGACCUUCGGGCCUUGCGCGAUUGGAUGAACCCAGGUGGGAUCAGCUAGUUGGUGAGGUAAUGGCUCACCAAGGCGACGAUCCCUAGCUGGUCUGAGAGGAGGAUCAGCCACACUGGAACUGAGACACGGUCCAGACUCCUACGGGAGGCAGCAGUGGGGAAUAUUGCACAAUGGGGGAAACCCUGAUGCAGCCAUGCCGCGUGUGUGAAGAAGGCCUUCGGGUUGUAAAGCACUUUCAGCGAGGAGGAAAGGUUGGUAGCUAAUAACUGCCAGCUGUGACGUUACUCGCAGAAGAAGCACCGGCUAACUCCGUGCCAGCCGCCGCCGUAAUAC